GAUGAAGAACGUAGCGAAAUGCGAUACUUGGUGUGAAUUGCAGAAUCCCGUGAACCAUCGAGUCUUUGAACGCAAGUUGCGCCCGAAGCCAUUAGGUCGAGGGCACGCCUGCCUGGGCGUCACACGUCGUUGCCCCCCCAUCUACUCCUUCGGGAUUGCGGGGGGCGGAUGAUGGCCUCCCGUGCGCCUCGUCGCGCGGUUGGCAUAAAUGCCAAGUCCUCGGCGACGCACGCCACGACAAUCGGUGGUUGCGAAACCUCGGUUGCCCGUCGUGUGCGGUCGUCGCGCAUCGAGGGCUCGAAAAAAUUGUCGGGCUCCGGCUCGGCUUUCAACGCGACCCCAGGUCAGGCGGGGUUACCCGCUGAAUUUAAGCAUAUCAAUAAGCGGAGAA
rnacentral:misc_RNA from 1 species